AGUCCUGGUUGUGGAUCCUGUGAGGAGCAGCAGCAGCAGGAGGGAGUUCUGGAAGCAGCAAUGGAAAACAGCUGUCGACUCUAAGCAGGGCGCCUUGCGGGGACUUGGGAAUUUUGGGGCAAGUCAUUCAGUGAGCCAUCCCUCCUUUUCAGGAGAGAGAGAGAGAAAAAAAUCCGGCCACGUUGAUUCUCGGCGAGAGAGCGAUAGCCGAGAUUGAAAUUACAUUUCCGAGGAAACAAUAAAAACCCUGAGGGAUUGGCAAGAGUAAUAGCCAACAUGAGUGUACUUCCACCUGUCAGAAGAGAUCGAAUCAUACCGAAACUCCCUUUGUGUUUCACAAAAGAAGCUGCUCUCCAUACCAAGAUCACAUUUAAUCCCAGAGUGACACGUGCCUGCCAGGAUGACCGGACAGGAACAGUUGGGU